AGCUUCAGUAGCGUAUAUUAAAGUUGUUGCAUUUAAAAAGCUCGUAGUUGGUGAUUCACUAUUGCCGGUCGUUGACUUUUGUCUGUGACUGGCGUCAGCUGAUAGUUGGUUUUUAAACCACAAACACUGUGAGUAAAUUAGAGGGAUCCAAACAGGCUUGGCCAGAAUGUUUCAGCAUGGUAUGGGUUCUCGGCUACGUCAGCUUUCAGCUCGCUGAUGGUGCUGACGAAGUAAAGGUUAAUAGGGAUGGAUGAUGAGAUUCGUAUUGAGUUGCUAGAGGUGAAAUUCUUGGACCAACUCAAGACGUCCGAAAGCGAAAGCUCUUCUCACAGAUGCUCCUU
rnacentral:rRNA from 1 species